rnacentral:rRNA from 1 species
UGGGGAAUCGUUCCGCAAUGGACGAAAGUCUGACGGAGCAACGCCGCGUGUAUGAUGAAGGUCUUCGGAUUGUAAAGUACUGUCAUUGGGGAAGAACAGUUUUCUUGAGAAUAUUGAGAAGACAUGACGGUACCCAAGGAGGAAGCCCCGGCUAACUACGUGCCAGCAGCCGCGGUAAUACGUAGGGGGCAAGCGUUGUCCGGAAUUAUUGGGCGUAAAGGGCGCGUAGGCGGGCCUUUAAGUCCGGUGUGAAAGAUCAGGGGCUCAACCCUGAGAGUGCAUCGGAAACUGGAGGCCUUGAGGACAGGAGAGGAAAGUGGAAUUCCACGUGUAGCGGUGAAAUGCGUAGAUAUGUGGAGGAACACCAGUGGCGAAGGCGACUUUCUGGACUGUAACUGACGCUGAGGCGCGAAAGCGUGGGGAGCAAACAGGAUUAGAUACCCUGGUAGUCCACGCCGUAAACGAUGAGUGCUAGGUGUAGAGGGUAUCGACCCCUUCUGUGCCGCAGUUAACACAAUAAGCACUCCGCCUGGGGAGUACGGCCGCAAGGUUGAAACUCAAAUGAAUUGACGGGGUCAAGCUGUUUCCU